CCUACGGGGAGCAGCAGUCGAGAAUCAUUCACAAUGGGGGAAACCCUGAUGGUGCGACGCCGCGUGGGGGAAUGAAGGUCUUCGGAUUGUAAACCCCUGUCAUGUGGGAGCAAAUUAAAAAGAUAGUACCACAAGAGGAAGAGACGGCUAACUCUGUGCCAGCAGCCGCGGUAAUACAGAGGUCUCAAGCGUUGUUCGGAAUCACUGGGCGUAAGGCGUGCGUAGGCUGUUUCGUAAGUCGUGUGUGAAAGGCGCGGGCUCAACCCGCGGACGGCACAUGAUACUGCGAGACUAGAGUAAUGGAGGGGGAACCGGAAUGCUCGGUGUAGCAGUGAAAUGCGUAGAUAUCGAGAGGAACACUCGUGGCGAAGGCGGGUUCCUGGACAUUAACUGACGCUGAGGCACGAAGGCCAGGGGAGCGAAAGGGAUUAGAUACCCUAGUAGUC
rnacentral:rRNA from 1 species